AGCGAAGCAGAGCAUGAAAGAAGGCGGCAUGUGGGUUCCCUGAGCCUUGAAGGGAAGUAUUUGAUGAAGGCAUCCCAUUUAGGGCCGAAUACUCCAAGGUCUCUUGCUUUCUGCGUAAUGCCUGACUAAGACGGGUCUUUGUAUUCCCAUCUGCUCUAAGAAGAAGCUUCCCUGAUGAUGGCUGAACAAGGAACUAAUCUAUGAGCUAUGAGCAGAAUACCAAAGAGGCUGGAGAGGUGGCGUAGCAGUUAAGUGUGCACACUGCUCUUCUACGGGCCCCAAGACUGAUUCCCAGAACCUACUUCAGAUGGCUCACAACUGCCUGCAACUCCAGCCCUGGAGGA